CUGGCGGCACGCCUAACACAUGCAAGUCGAACGAAGUAGCAAUACUUAGUGGCAGACGGGUGAGUAACAUGUAGGUAUCUGCCCUUUGGCCUGGAAUAACACGAGGAAACUUGUGCUAAUACCGGAUAAGUCUUUACGGAGAAAGCUUUAUGCACCAUUGGAUGAGCCUGCAUUUGAUUAGUUUGUUGGUGGGGUAAUGGCCUACCAAGACUGUGAUCAAUAGCUGAUUUGAGAGGAUGAUCAGCCACAUUGGGACUGAGACACGGCCCAAACUCCUACGGGAGGCAGCAGUGGGGAAUCUUGCACAAUGGAGGAAACUCUGAUGCAGCGAUGCCGCGUGAGUGAAGAAGGCCCUUGGGUUGUAAAGCUCUUUCGUCGGGGAAGAAAAUGACUGUACCCGAAUAAGAAGGUCCGGC
rnacentral:rRNA from 1 species